rnacentral:lncRNA from 1 species
ACGGGUGAGUGAAUGAAUGAACGAGCGAAUGAAUGAAUGAAUGAACGAACGAACGAGCGAAUUAAUGUUUGAAUGAACGGACGAGCAAAUGAAUGAAUGAAUGAGCGAAUGAAUGAAUGAAUGAACGAGCGAAUGAAUGAAGGAACGAGCAAAUGAAUGAACGAGCGAAUGAAUGAGCGGAUGAAUGAACGAACGAGCGAAUGAAUGAGCGAACGAAUGAAUGAACGAGCGAAUGAAUGAACGAACGAGCAAAUGAAUGAAUGAAUGAGCGAAUGAAUGAAUGAAUGGACGAACGAGGGACGGAAGGAGGGAUGGAGGGAGGGAAGGAGGGAGGGAGGGAAGGAAGGAGGGAGGGAGGGAAGGAAGGAGGGAAGGAGGGAGGGAGGGAGGGAAGGAGGGAAGGAGGGAGGGAAGGAGGGAAGGAAAAGAAAGGAAGGAAGGAAGGAAGGAAGGAAGGAAGGAAGGAAGGAAGGAAGGAAGGAAGGAAGGAAGGAAGGGAGGAAGGGAGGAAGGGAGGAAGGGAGGGAGGGAGGGAAGGAGGGAAGAGGAAGGAAGGGAGGAAGGAAGGAAGGGAGGAGGGAAGGAAGAAAGGAAGGGAAGGAAGGAAGGAAAGAAAGGAAGGAAGGAAAGGAAGGAGCAUCUGUCUGUCUGUCUGUCUGUCUGUCUGUCUGUCUCCGUGGCCUUCAGCCGUGCGGGCAACUGCCCCUAGGGGGCGCCGGCCGGAGCCGUCCGCAGGGCGAGGGGAGGAGGCGGGGGGCGCGCGUGCGCGCUCUCGUCCUCUCGCCGGGCCUCCGAGUCUCGCGAGACUUGGAGGGCUCCGGGGGAGCGGGGCCGCGGCCUUCCCGCCGUCGGGCCCGGUUCGCCCGAAGACGCGCCCUUUUCCCCCAAAUCGGAUUGAUUUUCCGCGUUUUCGCGUGGUUUUUCGAGCGCCUCCCGACUGCUGAGGGCCGCAGCGAGCGGUCGGGAGGGGAGCCCGGCCCGGCCCGGCCCUGGCCGUGGCGACCUCACGGUCCGGAGGGCCCCGCGGAGGUGUGAAUGGACUCUGAGUUUGCCCAAAAACUGGUUAACGAGAGAAAACGGAAAAACAAAAGGGGCCUGGGUAAUACUCAGAUUUGUUCGUCCACCUGGGAGAAUUGAAAAGUUCCAGUCUUCCAGGUGCCGUUGCCUAUCAGUGCGAUAUAGCGAUCGGUCCGCUGAAUUUAUUGAGUGCUUACGGGGGCUACGCGCUCUAAUGAGCGCUUUGAAGAGUAAAAAUACAAGAGGGUUGGUGGACGCCGUCGUCGUCCGUAGUGAGCUUACGGUUUAGAGCGCAGACAGUCAUUAAAGAAAUAGUUCAUAGUAUAAUUUAUAGAUAUGUACAAAAGGAUGUAUCUGUGGAGAAGCAGCGUGGCUCAGUGGAAGGAGCCUGGACUUUGGAGUCGGAGGUCAUGGGUUCGAAUGCCGGCUCUGCCGUUUGUCAGCUGUGUGACUGUGGGCAGGUCACUUCACUGCUCUGGGCCUCGGUUCCCUCACCUGUAAAAUGAGGAUGAAGACUGUGAGCCCCACGUGGGACAACCUGAUUCCCCCGUGUCUACCCCAGCGCUUAGAACAGUGCUGUGCACAUAGUAAGCGCUUAACAAAUGCCAACAUUAUUGUAAGUACUGUGGAUCUACCCAGCUCCAUAGUACAAUAUGUCAGCCAUCUUCUGCAGUGCUUGCUGUCAAGGAGAUACUGUAUUUAUCGCUUCGAAAUUUCUCCCAUUACACAAACAUCUGGAAGAAAUAGACUUGAGAUAAAAUGGGAAAGAAAGUGUUUUCACGCGAUACAGCGUUUAAAUACAUGUUCUCAUCCGGGAAGCAGCAUGGCUCAGUGGAAAGAGCCCGGGCUUGGGAGUCAGAGGUCAUGGGUUCGAAUCCCAGCUCUGCCACUUGUCAGCCGUGUGACUGUGGGCAAGUCACUUCACUUCUCUGGGCCUCAGUUCCCUCAUCUGUAAAAUGGGGAUGAAGACUGUGAGCCUCACGCGGGACAAGCUGAUGACCCUGUAUCUACCCCAGUGCUUAGAAAAGUGCUCUGCACAUAGUAAGCGCUUAACAAAUACCAACAU